rnacentral:rRNA from 1 species
GACGUAGGGCGCGAGCGUUGUCCGGAUUUAUUGGGCGUAAAGAGCUCGUAGGCGGCUCGUUGCGUCGGCUGUGAAAACCCGCAGCUCAACUGUGGGCUUGCAGCCGAUACGGGCGGGCUUGAGUUCGGUAGGGGAGACUGGAAUUCCUGGUGUAGCGGUGAAAUGCGCAGAUAUCAGGAGGAACACCGGUGGCGAAGGCGGGUCUCUGGGCCGAUACUGACGCUGAGGAGCGAAAGCGUGGGGAGCGAACAGG